CACCCAUUCCCCUCUGUGAUCACCGGCUUGUGAGGCCCACCUGCUGUUGACUUCCCAGAGUUGCUCAGACACCAAGCCUACCUCCUGCAGAGCGGUGGAGGCGAAGAGCAGGCGGCUUCCUGCAGGUGGAGAGCUGCAGCGCACAGGCUCUGCGAGGCAGGACCCUCAGCGCUCGUCACCUCCUGCCCUUCCGGUCUGAACUGACAAUUGGAUCUGAUUACAGGGGAUGGGAGGAGGAGGGGAGUAUUUGCUGAAGAUGCCCCAGCAGACCUGCCUCCCAUGGACUUAGUGUGGACUGGUCUCCUCACACCAGAAACUGGGCUCCUUGAACUAAGCCUGGUACCAAUGGUAAGAUAGACAGUGUUUUCUACACCAUGACUUCUCAAAUGUUAUUGUGCCCAGAAUCAACUCGCUAAGUUAGAAAAGUACAGAGCCUGAUCAGGGUUGGAUAAAGGAGCAGUGGAGAGCAGAGGGCCUCAUUUCUCACCUGAAAUUGGAAUAUGGACAAACACUGGUUAAAGGGAAUGUCUAAAGAAGAAGAGGACUUUUGUUUUUCUUCUGAUUUCUGUCAUGGUGGUCCUGUGGGUCUUGGCAACUCUGCAGUUCUAACAGAUGCAUGGAAGGUUCAGUCAGGGAUGGCCCUCAACACCAACUCGUCCUUGCCAGACAACUAGAUAAGCCAAG